UACGAAGGGGGCUAGCGUUGUUCGGAUUUACUGGGCGUAAAGCGCACGUAGGCGGAUUGUUAAGUCGGGGGUGAAAUCCUGGAGCUCAACUCCAGAACUGCCUUCGAUACUGGCAAUCUCGAGUCCGGAAGAGGUAAGUGGAACUCCUAGUGUAGAGGUGGAAUGCGUAGAUAUCGGAAGGAACAUCAGUGGCGAAAGCGACUUCCUGGACCAAUACUGACGCUCAUGUGCGAAAGCGUGGGGAGCAAACAGG
rnacentral:rRNA from 1 species